rnacentral:rRNA from 1 species
ACACAUGCAAGUCGAACGGUAGCACAGAGAGCUUGCUCUCGGGUGACGAGUGGCGGACGGGUGAGUAAUGUCUGGGAAACUGCCUGAUGGAGGGGGAUAACUACUGGAAACGGUAGCUAAUACCGCAUAAUGUCGCAAGACCAAAGAGGGGGACCUUCGGGCCUCUUGCCAUCAGAUGUGCCCAGAUGGGAUUAGCUAGUAGGUGGGGUAACGGCUCACCUAGGCGACGAUCCCUAGCUGGUCUGAGAGGAUGACCAGCCA